AUUGAACGCUGGCGGCAGGCCUAACACAUGCAAGUCGAACGAGUGGCGGACGGGUGAGUAAUGUCUGGGAAACUGCCUGCUGGAGGGGGAUCACUACUGGAAACGGUAGCUCAUACCGCAUACCAUCGGAUGUUCCCAGAUGGGAUUAGCUAGUAGGUGGGGUAAAGGCUCACCUAGGCGACGAUCCCUAGCUGGUCUGAGAGGAUGACCAGCCACACGGGAACGGAGACACGGGCAAGACUCCUACGGGAGGAAGCAGGGGGGAAUAUUGCACAAUGGGCGCAAGCCGGAUGCAGCCAUGCCGCGUGUAUGAAGAAGGCCUGAGGGUUGUAAAGUACUUUCAGCGGGGAGGCGUUACCCGCAGAAGAAGCACCGGCGAACUCCGUGCCAGCAGCCGCGGUAAUAC
rnacentral:rRNA from 1 species